rnacentral:rRNA from 1 species
UACGGGAGGCAGCAGUCGAGAAGCUUCGGCAAUGGGGGAAACCCUGACCGAGCGACGCCGCGUGAGCGAUGAAGGCCUUUGUGGUUGUAAAGCUCUGUCAGUGGGGAAUAACGCCGGAUAGUUAAUACCUGUUCGGUCUGAACGUACCCACAGAGGAAGCUCCGGCUAACUCCGUGCCAGCAGCCGCGGUAAU